rnacentral:rRNA from 1 species
GUAGGUGGCAAGCGUUGUCCGGAAUUAUUGGGCGUAAAGCGCGCGCAGGUGGUUCUUUAAGUCUGGAUGUCGAAAAGCCCCCGGGCUCAACCGGGGAGGGUCAUUGGAAACUGGGGAACUUGAGUGCAGGAGAGGAAAGUGGAAUUCCACGUGUAGCGGUGAAAUGCGUAGAUAUGUGGAGGAACACCAGUGGCGAAGGCGACUUUCUGGCCUGUAACUGACACUGAGGCGCGAAAGCGUGGGGAGCAAACAGGAUUAGAUACCCUGGUAGUCCACGCCGUAAACGAUGAGUGCUAAGUGUUGGGGGGUUUCCGCCCCUCAGUGCUGCAGCUAACGCAUUAAGCACUCCGCCUGGGGAGUACGGUCGCAAAGACUG